UAUUUUGCCUUUCUUACUAAAGAAAGGUAUAGGUUUUACUUUAAGCCAGGACGUCAUUUCCAUCUUCGUAAAUAUGUCGAUUCAGCGUGAAUUUUAAUCGGAAAAAUCGUCAAAAAAUCACACUGCAUCGAUUUUCGACGCUCUAUCGAUUCACCUUGACAGAACUCGUCUAUCUCGAAUCCUCGAAUUUUGAGAAAAUAAAUUCCGUGGAGGUCGAGUGAUGUUCGUAUGUGGUAAAAUUUUGCAAAGUUUUGUGUCGCGCCGUUCUCAGCUCCCAUAAAUCCGAUUUCGAUUUAUCUGAGUGCAGAUGAAAGCUAGUGUGCUGAACCUGGGCGAGUUGCCACGCAAAUUUCCAAAUAUCCAUCUGUUUUCGGAUGCGGCCAGACUUUUCAACGAAAUACACAGUUUCCAAAUGAAAAUAUGGUCAAUUUUUUUCAUUUUCAUAUUUUUUAUUUAUCUCAAAAAUUGCAUUUUUCGAGCUCUACAACCUCCCAAAUUUUCAUCCAGAUCCAUAAUCUGGUUCUGGAGUUAGAGCCAUUUGAUUAACCUACCAAAAGAAAAAAAAUCCCUAAAAAAAGGUAAAAGCCCACCUGGUGACCUUCACCAACGUUUUUCAUUUCUGAUUUUAUUCAAAAUUUCUUGCUACAUUCAUAGUACAGACCAUGAGUGAGCAUCUGAAACAAAUUCGACAUCGAUCGGCAAUCCCGAUCAAUUUUUAGAACGAUUUACUUUUUGCCUUUUUUACUAAAGAAAUGUAUAGGUUUUACUUUAAGCCAGGACGUCAUUUCCAUCUUCGUAAAUAUGUCGAUUCAGCGUGAAUUUUAAUCGGAAAAAUCGUCAAAAAAUCACACUGCAUCGAUUUUCGACGCUCUAUCGAUUCACCUUGACAGAACUCGUCUAUCUCGAAUCCUCGAAUUUUGAGAAAAUAAAUUCCGUGGAGGUCGAGUGAUGUUCGUAUGUGGUAAAAUUUUGCAAAAUUUUGUGUCGCGCCGUUCUCAGCUCCCAUAAAUCUGAUUUCGAUUUUUCUGAGUGCAGAUGAAAGCUACACUGAAAAUACGCCACCCUUUUUUUCCAAGUGCCCAAACACUUGAAUGAUUCAAUUUAUCCGCAUCUUAGAUCUAAUUUGUUUGUGUUUAAAUUUCAAUCCAAUCCAUUAUUAAAUUCAAGUGUUUUGGCGAUUGACUUUUUGGUAUUUUUUGACACCUUAUUUUCAUUUGGGUGGCUCAAACUUUUCAAGUGUUUUGCUCAUGAAUUUUCCCCACUGUGCUGAACUAUUCAAAGUAAUGAGCAAAACACUUGAAAUUGAUCUUGUUUUGAUUUGAAAUCCAGUUUCGCGACAGCUUCGUCGGAAUUUGCUUCGUUUCCUCAUUUGAAAGUUUUGGAGGUCCGGUGUGUUCGUUUUUCGCAGACCGCUUGAGUUCGCUGCCGCCAUGUUCCAGUCCAGAAAAUUGCCUGCCCGGUUUGUGACCGCGAAGAUGAGCAUCACCAUAAGGCUGUGUCCUCGGGCUCGGGCUUCGUAUGGCCAGCGGAAGGGCUUGGUCUCCCGGGCAGUAGCCAACUUUGAUGAUAAAGUUCCUUUCCGGACCCAUUUGGAAGGAUGCGAAAGAGCUGCAGAUGCCGUACCAGGUAGGCGGUGCCAGUGAUAAACAAGAUUUGGAUGCAUUCAACUCAGGGGCCAUGAUAUGCGUCAUUCGACUGGUCAAGGCACAGUUUGAUUCGAACCACCGCGGUUCUGCAUCAACAAGAAGAUUCCCCAUGGGGCCUCCAUCUCCGCCGGCACCGGUGCUUCACUCGCCGACGCUGAGAAACCUCCCAGGAAGCAGUGGUGGCGAACAAACCGAUCCCGACCAG